UAUUUCACUCAAAACUCUGUCUCCAAGAUUUUAUUUGGCACUGUGCACAGAAGCUGAGCUUUCAAUAUCAAUUCCAAGUUGGCAAGGGCUCUGAUUCUCAGUUAUUCAGGGAUCCAGGCUGAGUCUCCACCAUCUUUAAUACACUGUUUUUCAAGUCAACUCUGGCCAUGACUGUAAAGGGCAAUUCACCUUCUGAGAGGAGGGAAGACGGAACAUAAAGAAAAGCAUAUGGGAUAUUUUUUCAACAAGGCUUGGAGGUAGCAUAUGUCCCUCCUUCUAUUAUUCCAUGAAAGAACUUAGUCCCUUGGCUCUAUCUACCUCCUGGGGAGAUUGAGAAAUGCUGGGAAGCUGGUAGGCCAAUGGUACUGCAGGAGAGCAAAAUUCGCCUCCACAAAAUGUCUCUCUGGCAUGCAAAUUAAUUCCAGAUGGAAAUAAUCAAGGCCUCAAAGACUCAGGGAGAACCUUGGCCUUCCCACUAACUGUCUAAAAGCAUUUAGAGGGCCUGUUCACACAAUGGAGUUACCACCAGAGAGAUCUGCCAAGAAGAUGGGCUGGGUGUUGCGGGGGAAACAGGGCCCAGAGUCCAGUGUCUAUUCUGCGUCUUAUACCGUCUCCCAGGACCCAGCAAACAUUUGCUUUUCCACCUCCAAAUGAAUCGUCUUCCUCAACUGUGAGGAAACCAGUAGCCACAAUAUCCUCUUUCAUCUUCAGCUGAUGAUAUUUGAGACGAGGACUUUGGCCAUUUUGAAUGCAGACAUGAUAGACUCAACAGCCCUGUCUUAUACAAUGAGGUAAAUUUAAGGAUGGGAUCUCUGCUCAGUGGAGGACAGAGCAGAAGAAUACUUGGAGUCCGAAUCUCUGGUGAUGUGGAGACAUCAUGCCAACCCUGGACUGCCAGCCCCUCUGCUAUUUUAUGCAUGGAAAAAAUAAACCUCUGUCUUGUUUUAAGCCAGUUAUUUCAAGUUUCUUAUCAGCUAACCACAAUUCCUAACUACACUAAUCAUCAUUUUUCUUAGCUCUGAAGAUUUCAGUAGUACAAUAAAUGUUCUUUUAAAA